UAGCUCAGUUAGUAGAGCAGUUGAAUUUUAAUCAAAUGGUUAAAAGUUCGAGUCGAGCGAAGCGAGACAGCAACGCGUUAGCGUUGGCCUGAAAGGUGAGUCCGUAGGGCGAGUAAUCCCGCACGACUGGCAC
rnacentral:sRNA from 1 species